ensembl:lncRNA
CUUCAUAGCCUGGGCUAAACAUCCCUUUAGUCCCCUUAAGCAUGCCAGUUCUGUUCCCAUCAUACGCAGGGCUUGUGGAAUGUGGGUAUGCAAUGUGAUAUUUGGGGAGCACAAGGAGAUGUGCGUUAGCCUUUGUGCUAAGAUAGAGGGGCUAUCUCAAGCCAUCCAGAGGAUUUUUCAGGACUAACGGGUAGUUCUACAUUAACCUGACCUGGCUUCAAGUUCCACCCACUCCCUGGCGCUACACAGCCUGAGUGCCCAGCAGCCCUGCCCACCGAAUCUGUUCUGUUUGCCUGAACUCACCUGGCGCUGCCUGAUGCCCUCAGCCGUUAGUAGUGAUGGAUGGAAAGAGGACCAGGGUGCUUAAUCAAUGGAUGAUGACAAUUCUUCUGCUCUUGGUUCCUGGGGGAACCUCAAGGACAGCAAGAUUUCUUCAUUAGCUGGUGGCUGAAUGUUGGCCUGAAGAACUCCUCUUUUCAACCUCAGGCUGCGUGGCCACCUUGGUUCCUUUGCCUGGACUUUUCUUCCAGUUCCUUGAGUCCCCCAUCCUUUUGUUUUUUGCCACGGCUUUCAUUGUGGUAUAACUUACAUACCAUUAGAUGUACUCAUUUCCAAGUGUUCGAUUCAAAGAUUUUUAGUAAACGUUGUGCAACUAUCACAAUUCAAUUUUAGCACCUUU